UAAACACACAAAAGUCUCGAACAGACGAGAGUCCCCACAGGUCCCCGCGCAGCCACAGAGGGAGCUAGAGUUGGAGAUCCAUCAAAUCCCUUUGCCCGGUCUCGGUUCCCCUUCUUCCUCGGCACCGGCCAGCGCCGGCCCCCUCGUCCACGACCAUCUCCGGCGGCCGGUCGCUUUCGGCGGCAUGGAUUGCCCCAAGCGGCGCGCGCCGGCUGGCCUCCCCUACGACGACAUCGUGGAGAUCCUCGCGCGUCUCCCCGCCAGGUCCGUCUGCCGAUUCAAGUGCGUCGCCAAGGCCUGGCGCGACCUCAUCGACGACCCCCUUAACCGCAAGAAGCUCCCCCAAACCCUGGAAGGGUUCUUCUUCAUUGACAAGCCGAACGACGUCGCUAGCUUCGUGGAACAUUUCGAUUUCAUCAACCUUUUGCCAAGAUCCGUGCCUCUCGACAUCGACCCUCGCUUCCCUUUCCUGACGAAGCGGCCUGAGAUUGAGGAUCUCCUCUUCGCGGAUUCCUGCAAUGGGCUCGUCCUCUUCGAUCAUGUCCGGAAGUCAAACUUAUUUGACAUAUCGAGCUACAUAGUGUGCAACCCGGCCACAAAGCAGUGGGAGACUGUGCCCACCUGCAGCUGCUGUCCACCACUAAGAGAUUGUUUAGAUUGGUAUACCUUUUUGGCUUUUGAUCCGGCUGUCUCCUCUCAUUUUCACUUGAUUUGCUUCCAGGAAAAGGGUUUGGACGAGGAGGAUGAGGUGUUAGUCUUGUCAAUGUGUGCAUACUCAUCUGAGACUGGGACGUGGAGUCAGAGCCAGAUCAACUGGAAUGAACAAGGACAAUUGGAAGGAUGGCGCCAUCAGUGCCAUCUAUCUUAUCAGCAUGCCUUUUUCAAUGGCAUCCUACAUUUGUUACUUUUUGGUUUUGAUCAUGAUCAGAUAGUUGCUCUGGAUGUACAAGGAAAGACUGAAGGAUAAUCACAAUACCAGCUGCUGCAGAGGGGAGGCGUUGGAAAUCUAAAGGUUAUAUUGGUCAUUCCCAAGGGCGUCUGCAUUACAUCAAAUAUGAAGUUGAUGCUCAUGACUGUGAAAAUUGUUAUGAACUGUCUAUCUGGGUCCUUCAGGAUUAUGAUAGACAAGAAUGGCUGUUGAAGGACACUAUGAGCUUUCCGAAGCUGUCUGGAAAAAAUAGUUGCAUAGGAACCACGUUGGAAUUCUUCGUUGUAGCCAUUCAUCAAGAUUGCAAUGUGGUUUUCAUUCUUCAACCCCUGAACCGACUAAUAGCAUAUGACAUGGACCGCAAGGAAGUGAGUGUUAUUGCCACUUUUGAACAUGAAAAUUUUGGUGUGAGAAUUGCUCCUUAUGUCCCCUAUUUCUCGGAGUCACCGGCGCUUGGAAAUAAGCUCUGAAAAUGUCUGCUCUAACCAUGGAGCAACUAGCGACUUGAUUAGGUUGUAGUGAACUUAGGUGAAACGUUCUGUCUCUGCUUGGAUGUAUUCCUCUUAUGCCUUUUGGUCUAAUUAAUACUGCAAGCCUGCUUAUCCAUUAAUGUAAUGUGUUGAAGAAUUAGUUUUUUCACAGAUGAAAUUGGACUUAGGUUUUUCUUUUAUUUCUUUUUUCUUUGUUAAUGCGGAAGAUGGUGUACCACCUGUUCUUCAUUUCUCAGCUGCCGAAGUGACAGCCCCAUUGCCAAAAUGUGUGCAUCGUUUCUCACUCAUUUGGAGCCCUGCCCAAGGUGUUUUAAAUAGCGUUGAGUGUUUAUACUGUUUAAGAAUAGAAGGAAGCAGACUCCAAUUGCUUUCCAUUCUUUUGCUCACAUUCCGGAUGCCUUAGGUAAGCUUACAUGAUCAUUUUUUUGUUUUUUUUUGAAUUAACACAUGUUUAUAUUGUGCUUGUCGCUCUCUGUUUGGAUACAAUUUUGCAGAAGACAAUUUGCAUGGUUGUAUGAUACGAUUUGGUUUCUGAAGUUUAAAGAUGCUACUUUGCUUCA